CAGCAGCCGCGGUAAUACAUAGGGGGCGAGCGUUAUCCGGAUUUAUUGGGCGUAAAGAGUGCGUAGGCGGUUUAUUAGGUCAGGCGUAAAAGAUCACAGCUCAACUGUGUAGGGCGUUUGAAACCGAUAGACUUGAAUACGGUAGAGGCAGGCGGAAUUCCAUGUGUAGCGGUGGAAUGCGUAGAUAUAUGGAGGAACACCAAUGGCGAAGGCAGCCUGCUGGGCCGGAAUUGACGCUGAGGCACGAAAGCGUGGGGAGCAAACAGGAUUAGAUACCCUGGUAGUCCACGCCGUAAACGAUGAGAACUAAGUGUUGGCGCGAGUCAGUGCUGAAGUUAACGCAUUAAGUUCUCCGCCUGGGUAGUACGGUCGCAAGACUGAAACUCAAAGGAAUUGACGG
rnacentral:rRNA from 1 species